UACGGAGGGUGCAAGCGUUGUUCGGAUUUAUUGGGCGUAAAGGGCGUGCAGGCGGUCUCGCAAGUCCGAUGUGAAAGCCCCGGGCUCAACCCGGGAAGUGCAUCGGAAACCGCGAGACUUGAGUACGGGAGAGGGUCGCGGAAUUCCCGGUGUAGAGGUGAAAUUCGUAGAUAUCGGGAGGAACACCAGUGGCGAAGGCGGCGACCUGGGCCAAUACUGACGCUGAGGUGCGAAAGCGUGGGGAGCAAACAGGG
rnacentral:rRNA from 1 species